AUUGAACGCUGGCGGCAGGCCUAACACAUGCAAGUCGAGCGGAUGAAGGGAGCUUGCUCCUGGAUUCAGCGGCGGACGGGUGAGUAAUGCCUAGGAAUCUGCCUGGUAGUGGGGGAUAACGUCCGGAAACGGGCGCUAAUACCGCAUACGUCCUGAGGGAGAAAGUGGGGGAUCUUCGGACCUCACGCUAUCAGAUGAGCCUAGGUCGGAUUAGCUAGUUGGUGGGGUAAAGGCCUACCAAGGCGACGAUCCGUAACUGGUCUGAGGGGAUGAUCAGUCACACUGGAACUGAGACACGGUCCAGACUCCUACGGGAGGCAGCAGUGGGGAAUAUUGGACAAUGGGCGAAAGCCUGAUCCAGCCAUGCCGCGUGUGUGAAGAAGGUCUUCGGAUUGUAAAGCACUUUAAGUUGGGAGGAAGGGCAGUAAGUUAAUACCUUGCUGCUUUGACGUUACCAACAGAAUAAGCACCGGCUAACUUCGUG
rnacentral:rRNA from 1 species